CAGGAAAGUAAAGCUAUAGGGCGGUAGUUUGAGGGAUUGGAACGGUCACCCUUCUUAGGCACAGGCUGUACAAAGGCAUACUUCCAGCAGGAAGGAAAGGUAGAUGUUGAUAGGCAGAGACGAAAGAGUUUGACCAGGCAGGGUGACAGCACGGAGGCACAGUUUUUAAGGACAAUAGGAGGCACUCCAUCAGGUCCAUAAGCCUUCUGAGAGUUGAGGCCAGAGAGGGCAUAGCACACCAUACUUUGAUGUGCCUUUAAUUAAAGGAAAUCAUUGCCACUCCCCUCAAAAGUUGCUUAUUUUUGACUCGGUAGGAAUGACAGUUUACAAGAAAUGGCAACACUACGUACAACACAGCAAAGCCUAUCAGAGGCCAAAUACAGUAAACCCUUGAUAUAAUGGACUAAUUGGUGGGGACUUAGUCUGUUAAUGCUGAAAGUCCGUUAUAAGUGGCAGAAGUUUACCAAGUGCGGUUGGUUAAAAACUGUUCUCGGCGGUCCCUGUGGAUUUCUGACUCCCUGAGCUUGUCCGUUAUAUCCAGAAUCUGUUAUAAGUGUGUUCGUUAUAUCACGAGUUUAAUGUACAGUCAUACCUCAGUUUACGAGUUUAAUUCGUUCUGGAAUUUUGCUCAUAAAUCAUAAAGCUCAUAAACUAAAAUGAAUGCACACUCUAAUGCUGAAAACACAAAGAUCGCACACUAGAGCACAAACGUAAGUGGAUACGAGGGUGUGAGUGCUGCCUGUGUGGAUGUACAGUCACCUCUUGAUUAAGACGAGUUUAAAUAACAAGUUUUUGAUUUAACACGAGUUGAUAUUUAAGGUGAUACGUUUAACCCUUUCAUUGCUAAGCGCUCGCAACAAGACUGUCCCUUCAGGCGUGCUCGGGCACCCCAGCGGGGGAAGGGGAUCUCUUUUAACCGCUAUAUCUCAAAAACUAUACAUCACGGUUACAAAACAAAAACACCAUAGGAAAGAGGAGGCCAAAAUCUAUAAGAUUCGGUUAUGUAAGCCUCUCCUGCGAAUGUACAGGCACGUUCAGCGGGUGUUUUUUGCUGUGAGUGUGACUGGUGCUCGCAGUGAGCUUUUAGCACCACCAGCAAGUGACGCUAGUGCUCGCUCUUUUAACCCCCAUGGCGUCGGAACAUUUCCCACCCGUGACCCCCCCCAGCGUCGGCACUUUUCAAAAAUUUUUUUCUCCCAUUAUGUCAGAAAUGCUGAAAAAACAUAGGUUUAAGUCAUGAAAAGUGUCAAAAAUGACAUCUGAGUCACGGUGUGUGUCGUAAAUUGUCGCGUCGUAUAUGUACGACGCCGACGCUGGGAAGGUGACUCAGCCUGUGUAGUACAUGUACGACGCCGACGCUGGGAAGGUGACUCAGCCUGUGUAGUACAUGUACGACGCCGACGCUGGGAAGGUGACUCAGCCUGUGUAGUACAUGUACGACGCCGACGCUGGGAAGGUGACUCAGCCUGUGUAGUACAUGUACGACGCCGACGCUGGGAAGGUGACUCAGCCUGUGUAGUACAUGUACGACGCCGACGCUGGGAAGGUGACUCAGCCUGUGUAGUACAUGUACGACGCCGACGCUGGGAAGGUGACUCAGCCUGUGUAGUACAUGUACGACGCCGACGCUGGGAAGGUGACUCAGCCUGUGUAGUACAUGUACGACGCCGACGCUGGGAAGGUGACUCAGCCUGUGUAGUACAUGUACGACGCCGACGCUGUGAAGGUGACUCAGCCUGUGUAGUACAUGUACGACGCCGACGCUGUGAG